rnacentral:tRNA from 1 species
CGAGGGGUACUUACACAAAGAACUGCUAAUUCCGCGCCCUGGGGGUA